rnacentral:pre_miRNA from 1 species
CCCUAUGGGAAAGGUCCAAUUUUACAUGCCCUGUAUGAAAUAAAAAGGGCUAUGUGUGGUUGGACCUGUCCCACAGGC